CUCUAAUUGAGCUGAUAAGCCAUUGGCAGGGAUCAGCAAAACCUUUGGCAGGAUCAGAUGUUGGCAACUGAGGCUCUCAGAGAUUAAGUGAAACGUCAGAAGUUGGAGAGCUGAAAGUACAGAGAGGUGUCUUUCUCCACUGAACGAAAUGCUUCUUCCUACUCACCAUGAUUACUAGUAAAAAUCUAGACUUGCAAAUGAAACUCGAAAAAUACAAAUAAUAAUACUGGAUAUGAUGUAAUGACAAUCUACAGUCAUGUACCAUACGACCAAGGUUCUUGACUUUUGCAGCUCUGACGUUGGCACUUCCACUAUGUAGUAAUAAUGAUGAGAGCUCAGGUUUCAUGUGCACUUACUCUAUAUUGGAUAUAGUAGUUUAGACACUUAGU
rnacentral:lncRNA from 1 species